rnacentral:rRNA from 1 species
CCUACGGGAGGCAGCAGUGGGGAAUAUUGCACAAUGGGGGAAACCCUGAUGCAGCGACGCCGCGUGAGUGAAGACUUACUUCGUUACGUUAAGCUCUAUCAACAGGGAAGAAAAUUACGGUACCUGAGUCAGAAGCCCCGGCUAACUACGUGCCAGCAGCCGCGGUACUACGUAGGGAGCAAGCGUUAUCCGGAUUUACUGGGUGUAAAGGGAGCGUAGACGGUGUGCCAAGUCUGGAGUGAAAUGCCGCAGCUUAACUGCGGAACUGCUUUGGAAACUGGCGAACUAGAGUGCGGGAGGGGUAAGCGGAAUUCCUAGUGUAGCGGUGAAAUGCGUAGAUAUUAGGAGGAACACCGGUGGCGAAGGCGGCUUACUGGACCGUAACUGACGUUGAGGCUCGAAAGCGUGGGGAGCAAACAGGAUUAGAUACCCGGGUAGUC